rnacentral:rRNA from 1 species
UAAAACCCAAAGGACUUGGCGGUGCCCAGACCCUCCUAGAGGAGCCUGUUCUAGAACCGAUAAUCCCCGUUAAACCUCACCACUUCUUGUCAUUCCGCCUAUAUACCGCCGUCGUCAGCUUACCCUGUGAAGACCAAUAGUAAGCAAAAAUGGGACACCCAAAACGUCAGGUCGAGGUGUAGC